rnacentral:rRNA from 1 species
UACGGAGGGUGCGAGCGUUGUCCGGAAUCAUUGGGCGUAAAGGGCGCGUAGGUGGCGGCUUAAGCGUGCGGUGAAAGCUCGGGGCUCAACCCCGAGUCGGCCGUGCGAACUGAGUCGCUUGAGCACUGUAGAGGCAGGCGGAAUUCCGGGUGUAGCGGUGGAAUGCGUAGAGAUCCGGAAGAACACCGGUGGCGAAGGCGGCCUGCUGGGCAGUAACUGACGCUGAGGAGCGAAAGCGUGGGGAGCGAACAGG